rnacentral:rRNA from 1 species
CCUACGGGUGGCUGCAGUGGGGAAUCUUGGGCAAUGGGCGCAAGCCUGACCCAGCAACGCCGCGUGAAGGAAGAAGGCUUUCGGGUUGUAAACUUCUUUUAUGAGGGAAGAACAGAAUACGGUACCUCUUGAAUAAGCCAGGGCUAACUAGGUGCCAGCAGCCGGGCUAAUACGUAGGUGGCAAGCGUUGUCCGGAUUUACUGGGUGUAAAGGGCGUGCAGUCGGGAAUACAAGUCAGAUGUGAAAUCCCGCGGCUAAACCGCGGAACUGCAUGCGAAACUGUUUUUCUUGAGUACCUGAGAGGUGAGUGGAAUUCCUAGUGUAGCAGUGAAAUGCGUAGAUAUAAGGAAGAACACCGAUGGCGAAGGCAGAUGACUGGGACGCAACUGACGGUGAGGCACGAAAGCGUGGGGAGCAAACAGGAUUAGAUACCCCGGUAGUC